AGAGUUUGAUCCUGGCUCAGGAUGAACGCUAGCGGCAGGCCUAACACAUGCAAGUCGAGGGGUAUAUAGUGCUUGCACUAUAGAGACCGGCGCACGGGUGCGUAACGCGUAUGCAAUCUACCUUAUACAGGGGAAUAGCCCAGGGAAACUUGGAUUAAUGCCCCAUAGUAUCAUUAAGUAGCCUUACUAUAUGAUUAAAGAUUUAUCGGUACAAGAUGAGCAUGCGUCCCAUUAGUUAGUUGGUAAGGUAACGGCUUACCAAGACAGCGAUGGGUAGGGGCCCUGAGAGGGGGAUCCCCCACACUGGUACUGAGACACGGACCAGACUCCUACGGGAGGCAGCAGUGAGGAAUAUUGGACAAUGGGCGAAAGCCUGAUCCAGCCAUGCCGCGUGCAGGAAGACGGCCCUAUGGGUUGUAAACUGCUUUUGUACGGGAAGAAACACCUCCACGUGUGGAGGCUUGACGGUACCGUAAGAAUAAGCAUCGGCUAACUCCGUGCCAGCAGCCGCGGUAAUACGGAGGAUGCAAGCGUUAUCCGGAAUCAUUGGGUUUAAAGGGUCCGCAGGCUGUUUGUUAAGUCAGAGGUGAAAUCCUACCGCUCAACGGUAGAACUGCCUUUGAUACUGGCAAACUUGAGUUAUUGUGAAGUAGUUAGAAUGUGUAGUGUAGCGGUGAAAUGCAUAGAUAUUACACAGAAUACCAAUUGCGAAGGCAGAUUACUAACAAUUAACUGACGCUGAGGGACGAAAGCGUGGGUAGCGAACAGGAUUAGAUACCCUGGUAGUCCACGCC
rnacentral:rRNA from 1 species